rnacentral:misc_RNA from 1 species
GUCGAUUUGAUCUACGAAUCUAUUCUAAUCAUCUCGAGGUAUAAUGACAGACCAAGAGGCUCUAACUAGAAAAAAUAGCUACAAAUGCAUUGAUUUGAAGCCCUCAGUUAAGGCAACCACUUUGGCUGAUAUCUGGGGUUGCAACUUUGAUAUACCUUGUCGGAUUUCCUCAACACUGUAGCGUGGUGAAAAAUGGGUUAAAACGAGUGUUUUGUUCCGUAUCCAUUUUGCUUGCUCCAUUAUCUCGUAUAGAUGGGUAUGACCGUGCUCUCGUGCAUGCUCAACACUGCAGUUGUCAUCCAAGAAAGUUGCCUCAGUUAUAAGAACUUUUGCCCGCAAGGCAUCAGCACUGCGAGGAUCAAGAUAAAAAUCCGAUGCUGUAUCUCCCGUGAAGGCUACUUCUGGACACAACACACUAUCUGUAAUCUGAACACCCGAUUUCUUCAGUUUCUCAAUUUUUUUCCCCUCUAGAUGAAUGUAUUGCUUCUUCAGCUUCUUUCUAACUGAGUAUAUCACAUAGCCCUGGCUAGGAAUAACAUGGUGAGUUCUAACUGGCCUUACUACCAGGUCAUUCCGCAUCUCAUAUGUUUCCCCUACAUCUAAAGCAAUCAGAUCCAAAUUCAGUUCCACCUGACUCAUAGAUCUAUGAACAUCUAGCAACUUUUCUACAUCCUCUUUUAUGGAAGGAGGCACAAAGACAGUCGGGGGCUUCAAGCCGUACAAACCGCGAGUAGCAAUAUACAUAGGAAGUCCACCAAUGUGGUCAAGAUGCGCGUGAGUGAUAAACAAGAAGUUUUGAUGAACGGCCCUUGAAGGACAUCUCCCAAUAUCAAAAGCAGCCUUUAGUUGUGGCACAAUAACACAGGUCUCAUGCCCACCAAUCGAGUGUCCUUCAAUUGAAUAGCCUUCAACAUUUAACCCUUUGCGGAUUACCUCAGCCCUGGCUUUUCUAUACUCUUCUUCCUCUAUAGCUCUCUCAAUGGCAGACAAGAAGCCGGUAGAGGAGCUUUUGAAAGCACAUGGAGCUGGAAGACUGAUGUGUGUUUGCUUUGAGAUACCAUGGCUUGGUUUUUGAACAUUAUAUUGAGUUUGGUUUAAGGUGGAAGGGUAAAAUGUGGAGAAUGAAGGUACUUUUGGUAUUGUAGUGGCUAGUGAGAUUUGCAUUUUUGAAUUGAAGAACACAUACAGAUAGAUGUACUCUGAGCAGGAGAGAAGGGGUCGAAAUGGUUUUUGUGCUUCAAUAUUUGGAUUACAACCCCUGAAAUGAAGAAUGAAAAGAACCAAAGAAGCUAACUUUGUAUGAAGAGAAACUCAGUUACAACCAGAGCACCGGCCGCCGUCAAAAUUUUCCGGUUUAAUUUACUAUCGGCGCCGGAAAGAGCAUGUACUUUUCCAGUGAUAUUUUGU